CAUCUGCUGUGGUGCUAAUAACUAUACCCCGGACGACUAAUUUCGUCGACGUUGCUCGAUUGGACAGUCCUCGAAGUCGAAUGGAAGCACAGGAAUGCAGUAUUGACCAUGGCUAAGGAAACUCUAAUCAGGGAUCUCAUCUCGUCUCGUCACCCCCAAGGCUAUCUUUAUCCGGUCUGCUCCACCCACACGCUCAGGGCCCAAAACCCUAGAUGCCCCCUCCCCAAAGUACAGAGAUCGCCUCCCGAGCAAAGGGAGAGAGAGAGGCAACUGUGUGGACACAGUAACUCACAGGACAUGACGAGGGUAGCUGCCGAGAGACACCGACCAAGGGCCCGUCGGCUAGGCUUUUGGGGCACAUGCACAAGGAAGCGGGUUGGCUUUAGAGAUCGGUGCAGCUUGGACCCUUUUGCGGCACUGCACCAAGCUUUGCCUUCCUCGUUCGGUCCCAUCCUCGCCUGCUCACUGUUGCUUGAUCACAAAAAGCCACGGGAAGCAGACUCACCUGUGUUCAUCACAGGAGUUUCUUUAUUAACGUCUUGUACUUGCACAAUAUACAAUUGCCUUCCUUUGUCAUGUCCGGCACCACCUUUGCCGGGGAAUCCAAAACAAAAGUAUGGCGGUAGAUGUUUAUGAAUCACCAGCUUCAGCUGAUAACGUGAUUCCAUCAUGUGUUGCCUUCCGAACAGUGUCGUGCAUUAGCAGCUUAUAAUCAAAUCGACCGACAGCGGCUCUUCGGCUCAAAGAACGCAGCAAGUUCCAACCAUCAGCAAAGUACUGCUUGUCUGCACAAUUAUGAUGUUGAAUGCCAUUUGUUAACAUUAGAACUACAUCAAAAGCAAAAGGGCAGAAAAAGGUUCUUUGUAUCUGGUUUGACUGCCAGUAGCUUUAAGAAUAGUUUAAAGGAGCUCCAUGAUCACUUAGGGUGGACAAUGAACAUGCAGUUCAGAGAUCUGGUCUCAAGAGCCUUGUAACCUAAUUAAGAAAAACCCUGGUCGAUAGAAGCAGCGGAAAACCUUGGAAGACACAGAAUGAGGUGACACCGAACAGUGUGGCACAUGGAGGGCCCUUUUGAGGAAGUGUAAUGGGGAAUCUUCAUGACAGGGAUCAUCUUUGUUUGAGGAGAGCGACUUCAUGACAUUCUCAUCUUUGACAGUGCAAUUGCUUAAAGUAUGACAACCUGACAAACAAACAUCACUCACUGGACCUUUUUGACUAAGGUCACCAACCAAGAUGCUUCUGUUUGCUUAAUGAAGCAUCAUCUCCUGUCUCAUGCCCUCGUUUCUAGGGUGAUGUUUAGUAUUGGUGAAAGUGCAUGGAUGACAGAUUUCUCUUGCAGAUUAUUCUGAUUCCAUUCGGGCGGUUUGUCCAUUUGCCGCCGUAUGAUGGAUCCACACACACACAUCAGUAAAUUAUAAGGAUGAUUUUGUUCCAAGGUAACUCCAAGAGGAGCAGCAGAACUGCUGUAUGUUAAGCUGGGAAUAGUUCUGAUGACCAGAAGAAGAUGAAGACUGCACCUCUCUCGAUGCGAUCAUGUUAUCCUGUUUCGGGUAAUGGGAAUGUCGAUCGAUGGCCUGCCUUGUACUGAUUUGUUGCAUGGAGUUACGUAGCAGUCAUGCAUGGUGAGCUGAGCUGCGGUAAAACUCCCAUGGAGAGGGAAGACGACCGACUCUCCCACGGAUUUAUCUCGAGGACAAGGACAAACCAUGCGUAAUGGUGAAGGCGACAGAGGCGACACCAACAAGCCUCCGCAGUCUCCGCUGUCACAUCGGGUUCUGAUGUGAUAAGACGGCAAAGCCAGCCGAACUUUGGGCCAACCCUAUGCCUGCAUCCUUCGCCACACCGCGUAUAUGCUUCUGCUGCCUUCAUCUGAACCUGUCAUUUCCUUCUUCCCAUGGGUUCUCUGUGCCCAUGCGUGCGACGUCAGCCCUAAUGAUUCGGUGCUGCGGUUCUUUGACCAUUCGGUCUCUCGGUCUUCCCACAUCCCCACGCUUCGCAGCGCCCCCUUCACACUGCAAUUGGACACCCAACAUAGGAAACAUUAGACUUCCAAGGUCAAUGUUGACCAAAAGAGCCCACAUCGCAUGCAAUAUUUCAUGAGAACCAUGUGGAAGAUAAAAGGUAGACGGUGUCAUUUUGGUCAUUUGAGUUUGUCCUAAGCAAAAGAAGACAGCCCCUUAUCCUCUCCAACAAAGCUAUCUAUAAAUACCUCACCCCACGCUUGUGCUGUUCAGGCAUAUGCGCAUAGUGUUCGAUCUUUUUCGAUCUUUCUCUCUCUUCUCACAUCUCUUGCACUCGCCAUGGACGGCCGGAACGGCAGCCCAAACCGCGGUCUCGCCGGCGCGGAGCCCGUGCGCUCCCGCUGGACCCCGAAGCCGGAGCAGAUCCUCAUACUGGAGUCCAUCUUCAACAGCGGCAUGGUUAACCCCCCCAAGGAUGAGACGGUGAGGAUCCGCAAGCUCCUCGAGAAGUUCGGCUCCGUCGGCGACGCCAACGUCUUCUACUGGUUCCAGAACCGGCGGUCAAGGUCCCGCCGCCGGCAGCGGCAGCUGCAAGCCGCGGGCCUCGCGGCGGAUCCCGGAGCUGCGAUGCACGCACGCCAGGUCGGUGGUGCAGCUCUGUAUGAACCGACCUCGACCGGCAUGUCAUCGAACAACUCGUCUGGUGGAGGCAGGCUCUUUGCUUGCUCUUCUUCUGCUUCUUCUUCUUCUUCUUCCUCCUCCUCAUCCUCUAGCCUUGUGGGGGAUGAUGGAGGUGCCGAUGAUCUCUUCUUCUCUCGCCAGAUGGGCUUCAUGGAGAGUUGCCAGAAUCCUUUUAUGUGCUAUCCUGACGUCGGUCCAAUGAACUAUCAGCCUGGUUAGCGCAUGGCUUUGUGCUUACUCCUUUUGCAUAAGAUUUUAGUGGGUGCUCAUUGGAGAUAUAUAGUAGUAAGAUUUACUUACACAUAUCACAACUAAAUUAGGAUUAUAUUUAUUGUUUGGUUCUCGAAUUCGACAGCUCGACAAAAAGGAUUAUGUCGACCUAAAAGCAAAUGAUUUGUGUUUCUCUGCUCAACUAAAAGCAGCUCCUUCUUUUGGAGUCAGAAAGAAGCAUGUUAUCAAGCACUCUCAGCAUCAACUAAAUCGAUCGUUUCAUGUUUUCUAUCGAUGAUGCCUGUUCUUCUCCUAAUGUCUUGUUGUUGUUUUCUUCUGUUGCAUCGAUGAGAAGCAUGCUAAAGAUUAUUUUGAGGCAAUAACAAGUGAAAUAUUGAGUUCACCAACUGCAUGUUUGAAUGCAGGGACCAUCACUGUCUUCAUCAAUGGGAUCCCAUCAGAAGUUCCAAGAGGACCUAUAGACUUGAGAGCUAUGUUUGGCCAAAAUGUGAUGCUCGUCCACUCCUCCGGAGAGCUUCUUCCCAUCAAUGAAUACGGAAUUCUACUGCAGAGCUUGCAGAUGGGUGAAAGCUACUUCUUGGUGAGCUUCUCAAAACAAUUAAUGCUUCUAAUAUCCAUUUCUCUCUCUCUUUCUCUCUCUCGCUGUGUGUGCACAUGUGUGUAUACACAUAUCUUCAUGUUUAUCCGAAGAACAAGACAUACCCCAUGGUGUGAAUAGUAGUACAUGGAAAUGUGAUCUACUUCAUUCCAGCUGAAUGAUCAGAUUUUAUAUCACAUAUAAAAGUUUUUAUCUUUAUUUGAUGCUUGUGUGUUAUUUAUGAUUUGGAACUAUAUGCUAUGCCAUCAAAAUAAGUUACUUCUUAUCCAUCUUCAAGCUUAGAAAGUCUCAAAUAUAUGAUAUUUCACUCAGAGACCAUUUAGUAUUCCAUGUUCAGUGGAGCUGAUGUUGGUCUGAACACUUCUGCUUUCAUGCAAUGAUAAAGUUCAUGAGAUAGAUUAAUAUGAUUUUUACCUCUUGACAGGUAUCAACAUCUACUUAACCCAUGAGAAAUGGCAUCAGCAGAAUCAAAUGCCUCUUCCAGUGAUCACAAUUUCAGAAGCAAUCUCACCUCUUGUCCUAAUUUAAUGAUCUACCACAUCCUUAUGUGUCUAAUUAUUACCAUGGCUGAAGCUGUUUGUAGCUUUCCUAUUAUUAUUUAUCAUUAUGGUGUUGUAUGCACUUGAUAGUGUUUGCUGGAAUACAGAAAUCUUAAUUGUAUUUGCACCUUUGUUUCUUUAAUUGCAUUGGCAGAGUGCAUCAAAAACACUACAUCUUGGAACUACAGAUCUCCCAAGUGUUCUGGAUCUUACAAUUAAUUUGAUUGAAGGAGAUCACAUAUGUAAGAGGAUGGAUGUCUGAUGUCUUCAAUAAAAUUGUAUGCUUCAAAUUAGUUUUUGUUUGGGUACAGAAGUCCACUGCAAACUCUGUUUUCAUUUUGUUGAAAGUUCAUUUCACAUUCUAUCUACAUGAGUUGCCAACUUUAGCAUUCUCUAUUACAUGUGGAUCAUCUUAUCUAAGCCUCUUUGAGCAGCAUCUAAUUUACUUUAGAGGUGAAGAGUAAAUUUCAUGACACAGUCUGAAAUUUUCAUUGCUUUUGAGACCCACAUAUUGGCCUUGUCUUUGCUACUGUUUAGGUCCUACACAGGGAUGGACAUGAAAGAGAAGUACAAUACACCACAGGAAACAGAGAUGUUUAAGACCUUGUAGUUUUCUGAUGACUAAACAAGGAACAGGUGUUCUCUUCUUGCUAAGAGGAGAGACAGGAGUUUUCUUUUGAGAAAGAAAGGGUUCAGGAACUGUUUAGAACAAUUGGUCAUAAAGAAUGCAAAUGAGCCAACAAACAAUUUUGCGGCUGAGAACAAAUGCACUGCUUUAACAUCAUUUGGUUCAUAUGAAGAAGAAGAGAUGAAAUGCUGCUCUCUCUGGUAGUUUUCAGCAGAGCAAAGUGGCCUUGAUCUCAAACAGUUCUUCACCUUUGUCUGAGCUCAACAAGACAGAGUUAAUUAUCUGAAACAAAAGCCUUGCAGAGGUUAACACAGUUGCUUCAUUCCUUCUUUUUCAUGUAUCCAAUGUAUUGUUCUACCCAAAGAUUCUUCCCUUCCAACCUGGUUUACUGAUUCAGAUUCACAUGAGGAUCUUACAUGAUCUCACAUGGAAACUUGGGGGAAAAUGUAGCGGAUAAUGAUCUCUCAGAUGCAAUCAAGGAAUCUUAAUCUUCUUAUUGACUUGAUGCAGCUGGUAAAUAAAGUUUUACAUGUCACAUUACAAGGUUGCAUUUUUGAAGUAAAACUGAACUCUACAUGAGCUUCUCAGUAGCUUCAGCCAUCUGCUGAAUUGUACAGUCUUCAAUUCGCUGCGUCUUCCCGAACUAACAUCUCUCUCGUUCCGCCUUGAGAGAGGCAUAUCAGUGUGAUGGAGAGAGCAAGCUUUGUGCAAACCACCUUCCAAAGCAGUCUCUCUUUCAUCUCUCUCCCGCCAAAACCGCACCUCAGGGAACCUCCAUCCGCUCGGGUGUUCCCCGAUCCGACACCGCGGCCGGCGCAGACCACCGCUUUGGCCGCUGUGUGGACGACGCCGAGAUCAGCAUCUUCGACGCCGAGCGCUACUACAACGAAGGCCACGACGGCAUUAGCGGGACCGUGAUUCUCGACGGAGCGGGCGAAAGGUGCAACCUUUCCACCCAUGGAGGGAGUUCUCGUUCUCCUCGACCGAUGGCUACGCGAGGCACGGCCGAACGCGUUCGUUCUACUCGACUCCGACAGGCUCGUCGGAGGCCAGCUGGAAUAGCUAGUCGGGGCUACUCUCCCACCCCGCCGUGCUCCAUCGCUGUCGCCGCGAGCGCCUUGCUCUUGAACGAACCAGCGAAGCCGCCGUCCUUCCCCGCUUGCCGUCUCUUCGGCCGCAACUGCCCGUGUUAUGGGAGGAAGUCCGUCGACGUUGAUGAGACGUGCUCGGAACCCAAGAGCUCGAUUCGCUCUGGUUCGGAUUUGAACGCGUCGUCCACCGCCAAAAAUCGCUGCUUUAGAACAGGGGAAAUGGGCCUCAAUAGCUUCCCGGACAGAGUGAUGCCGGAAGAGACCAAGAACGAGUUCGGCUUCGAGGAGAUGAUAAAGGUUAGAUAAUUCCUGGAAAUCGUCUCAAAAGUCCCAGCUUCUUAGCUAAUUUGACUCGGUCCUUGCUUCCCGCCGAAGUUGGUUGCCGGAUGGUGAAUUCCAGCAGCCUAUUCGGCUAUUCCCAUGUCUUCUCCUGCCCCGUGUUGAAUCCGUCCUCUUUGAACAACCUCGCCGAAGAACCACCACGAGAAUCUCUGGAGGUCUUCCGGCCAACCAGGCAUACCGCAGCAGCGCUGAGCACACCACCGGAUUCACAACUUGCCGCCGUGGUUUUCCCAUUCUCCGACCAGGUAAACCGCCGAAGUUUCACCCGAAUCCCCCGCCAGACGACGACGUGGCGACCUACACAAGCUCAGACCUUUUCGAGAUCGAAAACUUCUCCACCCAGACGACCUACCGCCGACCCGACUCCCUCGACUCCCGCGACCAUCUCCGUGGGGGCCUUGAGGCGGAGGUACCGCCACCGUCCAAUGCGCCCAGCGAGGCGAGCGUCGAGUGGAGCGUCACCACCGCUCCUUCCGGGAGGAGCACGAGCGCUGCGCCGCCACGGGGGGGAGGCGGAGAUGCCGCGGUCUUCUGAGCUGCCGAAACGGCAAGGCGGUCAGCGUCGGCCCAAUCCCGCUGCGAUUAACAUCUCCGGUCGGAUCGAAUGCGGUGCGCAAACCCAAACCCGGUUCGAACGCCCUAAACCGGUCGGAGGCGGUUUAGAAGUCCAAAGUGACGUGUGUUGUCAUGAUUUCUAUUUGGAUUCUCUCAUUAAUAAUAAUCUAAUGCUGAAAAUUAUUGGAUUCUCUCAUUAAUAAUAAUCUAAUGCUGAAAAUUAUUGACUUUCGUAAUCUCUCUCUCUCUCUCUCUCUCUCUCUCUCUCUCUCUAUGUUUAUAACGUUUAGAUACUGCUAUUUAAUCUAUUGACUGUAUGCUGUGUGUCCUGCGGAGUACACAUCUUGUGACACGUACACCAACACGAAGGUAACUCCAACAAGGCCAAAUACCCUCAACUUUGUGCUGCUACAGCUAUCGAUUUCCAGAUUCAAUGUGUCACCGUCUUGUUAUACCUGCCUGCAUUGACAACACUGCUUGAUUAGAUUUCCAUGGCUGCACGACACCUGUUUGUAUAAAUGCACCAUCCAGCACCAGGCUAACAGAAGACUCCAAACAGGUGGGUCUCAAUCAGAUUCCACGUUGCCCCCGAAUCAUGGAAGGGUUUGAUGUGGUUCUUGAGCUUAGAGAAGACCACCUCCAUGAAUCAUGUCAUUUUGCUCACCUAACUGGCAUGUGGACCCAGCCUCAUGUCUCUCUGGAGCAGGACAAGCAGUCUGGAAACAGAUCCAUGCUUCUUUGGGUACGAGGAUAUAUGAUUCUGCUUUGCACCUUCACAUGUGGGUGACCUGCUCAGGGCCUACUGAUAUGGGGUAAACCUUUAAUCUUUUACUCGAUUUGAAGAAUGAGUUGAACAACCAUGACUUCUGAAACUUGCAUGUUUUAGUUACUGUACAUAUAUUUUGUUUACAUUGUGUUGUUGCUGGUUGUUCUUCUGGUCACUAUUUUGACAUUAGUUAUCUGUAGUGUCAUGACCAAAAGUAUCUUGAGUUGCAUUCUAGUGACAUAUAUCUAUAUGUAUAUAUUCAGCUUUUUGGAAUAAUUAUAGUUCUAGUUCAGUUCACAAUCACAGCUAAAGCUUUGCCUAUUGUAUGUGCAUCAAUCAUGCAUAAUACAGAAUUUCUGUAUAAUCAAUGCAUUUGUACCUGAAGUAGAAAUGUGAUGCUUUCAGAUUGUGUGCGCGCGCCAUGGAAUAGUUAUACUUCAUGGGUAGUUAGUACUUGAAACAUUUACCAGCUUCCGGUGCUAUCUAAAAGAAAUAGAAGAAGAAAAAUCUUAUCCAUGUUAGUUUGAACAGAACUAAGAACUCACAAAAAUGACUGCUUACAGUUGUGCCAUAAGUUUCUCAACCAUCCACAAUAACCUUUCUGAGAUGCAGAGAACUUACAUGUUUUAGAUGAGUAGGUUGGCUGGAUAUAGAUUAUAAGUUUGAUACUCCCUUAAUUUUGAAAGAUUUUGUAGCAGUAGCCUCAGAGUAACAGCACUCCAGUGAAAUGAACCGUCCAGGCAGUAAACUAUAGAUGUUUUGCUAAGGAAAGAAGGAAAAAAGUAUACCAUACGAUCGAUGGAUUUGACAUUGUCCAACCCUCACAAACAAUGAACCACACCAUUGCUAUUGGACUGAUUUUUAUCUGGUUUUCCCUUUUGUGAGCUGGUUUCAUGAUCGCAUUCACAUUACAAAAUUGCCUGAACAAUGACUCUUUGAUAUCUAAUACAUUGUUUUAGAUAUUGAAGAACCAAUCAUUCUGAUGCCAUGUUGUUGACAUUGAAAUAAGGGUAACAUAAAUCUCCAGUUCUGAAGACUCUCAUCAUUAUAUUGUUAGUUGUUUCAUUUAUUCUAGUGUAGAUUACAUAAUACAAUGUGAUCAUUAUAUGUUGAGGGAGAUUAAGAUAUUAUAAAGGCCAUCCAUGAGUUUGGUCCCUUCAUGAGGUAGUUCCUGCACAGUCUAGUUAUUACUGUUUUAUGAGAAUUAAAAGAGAGGGACAUUAAUUCCCACACAGAAUACCUGGUCAAACACUUGGGCUCUUGAACCUUUAAAAUUAUCAUCUUAAUAUAUGUUCUGAAGUUGAUUUAUGCAUCAUGACUUGCACUAGUGGAGCAACCAAUCCACUAGUAGACAAGCAAAUUAGCACCAAACAAACCAAUACCUGAACGCACUACUUCUUGCAAGAUGGAGAGUCAAUUAAACAUUCACAGAGAGACGAGAAGUAGUAUUGCAAAUUAAACCUGUCACAAACUACUACUCUUACUCCUGUAAUUAAUACACAGUAAGAGGCACAGUUCUUAGAGGUUCCAAUCCUUUUUGUUCUGCAUUUUUUUGCAAUUUAGUGGUUUUAACUUUGUCUCAGAAAAAGAAAAACACUAUUUUAUCUUUUGUUUUAUAGUUAGAGCUGAUGCUCCCUCUUCAGAACCAAACAUGGGCCAAGAAAUCGGAAGACUUUCUACUCUGUGUCAGCUUGAUGGUCUACAGUAGUGGAUAACUGUAGGGAUUAUUAGCCCAGGAGUACCCACAUGAAACCUUGUCUUGAAUUCCAUGGUGAAGGUUCUAUUGUGGCACUCCUGAUGACACACAAUAAAGGUCACUAAUAUCUAUAAAGACAUCAAUUACAGUUUAAAUCAUAGCUUAAAAGAAUUAUAAAUGACAGAAUUUUUGUAGGUUGAUAGGUUUAAUUGCUACAAUGUUGACAAAAUCAACACUUAAUAAGUAUAUGUUCUCUAACCUAUGGUGUUCCUCUAAUUAAAUUGAAAGUUGUAGAAAGCCACUUUGCUGACUUCAGCUCUAAGCAGAUAAUGCAUGUUGUUUAUAGUUGCUCAUCAGCCAAUUAGGAUGUAAUUCUAGAGCUAAAUGUAAACCACAUCUCUGUAAGUCAUACAUGUUGGAAUUGAAUUCUUUAUCUAGAACUGAACUUUCAUAUAGAUUAUUAGCUCACAUCCUUAUCAAAUGAGUCAUUUAGUAAUCAAGUGUCCAUGUUGUUGAUGCUGAAACUUCUCUGACACAGUCUAAACCUUAGAGACAUGUUCUUUGAGUUUAUCUGCAGAUCACAGCAAUGAGGGCCAAGAGAUGUUAUAUUCUGAUCAUGUAUUGGACCAACAGAAAAUUAUAUCCAAUCAAUGUCUGCCAAAGAAAGAAAACCACAGUUGAGGACAAGAUGGGUCUGAGCAAAACCAGUGGCUGUAGUGUGUUUGCAGCCACUGAUGAAAGCAAUCCUCCUAUCACAUCUUGAACAACUGGGACUGGAAUGGGCUGUCACUUGCUAUAUAAAGGUUUGCUUAUAGAAUCUUUCUUCCCCAGUAUGCAUAGGAUGAAGUGAUAGUUAGGUUCAGACCAAUAGAAUUUGUGUUCUCUAAUCUCUUUGGACCAGUCUCCCAUUUUGAUCAAAUUUUUGACAUGAUUAUAGAAGUGGAAUACAUAUUAAAAUGAAUCAAAUGAUGAUAGUGUUACAUGUAAAAGACACCAUACAGUCACAUCUCAAGGGACUUGAAUGUGUAUUAACUCUUCAAGCUCUCAAAGGGAGCCACAUAUUUUGGAAUGUGCCCCUUGAGCAUAUCCUCAAGGUGGCCCAUGCACAACUCUACCCUGUUCAUAUAUGGCUCCAAGUUGACUGACCUCAUCCUCAUCAUUUACAAGAACAUUUCACGUGUUGCAGAAAUGCUAUGCUUCUCACAGAAAUCUCAAUCUCAACCUUUUGGAUUGCCCCUUCCCUAGCAUGGCCCUCCUGAGUCAUGAAGUAAUAAGAUCAUAUCUAAUCUCAUGUUAAUUUUGAGAGUUAGAAAAUCAAGAUGUUGUAAGGGGUCCAUCCUAGAACAGACACUUCCUUGCGAGUUUCUGUGCUCGUAAUGAUGAAAACAAAUAAUGAUUUAUGUCAUGAUAUAUGAGAGAAACAUUGAUCCCGAAACGAAGGGAGUUUUGAUAAGAUCAUAUUUAGUCUCAUAUUAGUUAUGUCUCUAUCUCCUAGAGUUUGGGGGGCUUAUCCUAGAGCGGAUAAUUCCUAGGGUGCUUGCACCAGAUAAAACCUAUCUCUAAGAAGAAGAGUCACAUCAGGAAGGUCAGGUAGGACUUGGCAGGUUUUAAAAGGCACUUUAAGACUUUGAGCUGCCAAACUUUGCUUUAUCAACAGCACUGCAGAACAGGAGGAAUUAGAUGGCCUAUGCAACAUCAAGCAUUGUGGUGAGUUUUGAGAUAUGGGGACUAACAGCAACAACAUGAAGUUGUGCUUCAGAAGGUUUUCUCCCAACCUUCAUAAAUCAAGCGAUAAUUGGAACAUCCAUAAGGUAAUAAUAACCAGAGCACAUAAAUCAAAGACUUUAUUCAAGUAUUUUCAGCUGGAUUAAGUCCAUAAGGCAAUAGUAAUACUGAAUUGAACAAGGUAUAGAAAGGUAUGACAGUCAUACCUUCCGAUGAAGACAUUUAGGCACAAGAAUCAUUUGUUUGUAACCAAUACUAGAAGCCAAUAAAGUUAUGCAAAACAAUCCAUAUUGACCUAAACAACAGCAAAAUUACAUUUUAAUUACCACAACAUAAAGUUUAUACAUAAGUUGUCUAUCGAGAUUCUAUUGAGAGAUUGGAUCAAACUACUUGGUUCAUCAGUUCCUGCGAUUCAUACAAACCCUACAACAUGUACUCUCUCCAAGUCACUCUGAAAUACUAAUUCUUGCAUGGUCUACUAAAGAAGAAGAAACUGUGAUAUAGUGCAGCGAGAUCACCUGAACACGAGGUUUCUAUAUUGAGAAUCUACUCCACUGCAUCUUGCACGAUACUUUGAUCAUAUGAUCCAUUGGCUCAUAUUAUCUUGGUCAGGUCAUGACCACUUAUUUCAGUAGAACCAGCUGGAUCCAUCAUGCUUCUGCAGCGAACCCCCCAUUCCUCUCUGCGAUACAUCAGAAUAAUCCAUUGCAGGUAUGUUUAAGCCAGAUCUGAAUCUGAAGCCACCACUUAAUUCAUUGGGUUGGUUGCUGAAUUGUUGCCCGAAUGGCAUCAUGUCCUCACGGAGGAAGAACUGAGGUUGCUGAACCAAGCUGCCAACUUGUUCGAAGAGACUGCCACCCGUUCCUGUCUCCUGCCUGAAGAAGUUGUCUUCCAUCUGAAUUCUGCUCUGGAGAGAAUUUGACCCUUCCAACACAGAAACGCUUCCCAAAGUCAAGCUCUUGUUACCAUUAACAUUGUUGUCAUAGAAACCCAUCAACUCAUUGAUCGACUUUUGUCCAUCAGAAGGAAUUCCCAAAUCAGAGACAUGUACAGGAUUGAGGCUUGACCCGAGCCGAGUUGCAUUAGGUUGAGCAUUCGAUGACAUAGGAACAACCGGGGGCUUGCUCUCAUUCACCUGAAAGUUGUCAGAUAGCAUUGUGAGAGAUUGAGGAAAUGUGUUCUGAUACUUGCAGAGGUACUGGUGUCUGUUUCGAGCAUUCCUGUCUGUAAAUCCUUGGCGAAAAUCAUGGUGUGGGCACUUUGCAUUAUCGCAGGUGUAAACGCGCUGGUUCAGCAUCAGUUGUGGCUCAGCAGCAGUUCUCUUUUGGAUGAAAUCACAGUUGAUCUCUUCUUUCAUUGGCACGGAGAUGACAAACUUCUCGUUCCCCAUGGUUGCACUCAGGCUAAAAGUAUUUCCAUCAGCAGCAGGAUUCUGAAUUACUGCAUCCUCGCUCUUGCCUUCAUCAGCACCUUCUAUAUCAUAAUCGCUGCAGCUGCUGUUGAAGGAGAUGGCACUCCCGGAGGAUGGGGGAGGGCAAGUAUUCGGGUGCAGCUUCAAAUACACAUCCUCUUCCUGCUUCACAACAGCAAGCCAUGUUGCGAUCUCCUUAGCAGUCAUCUUGUCUUGAAGACACUUAGACUGCCUGACUAGCCGACGAAUCUUUUCGAUAUCAGGAGACAUAUGCUUGAUCACCGCAGUCAAGACGCUAACUUUCCAAGCCUUCUUCAGAUCAUGUGGUUUCUUGUAGGGUGGCGGGCCCUGAUCUUUCGGAAAACCCAAUUCAGGCCACCACUCCUCCCUUCCAGUAGGCCACCACGGCGGUGCAACUCCCUUCUCCAGGGGGAACCUCCGCUGUGGUGGGUCGCAGUGCUGCAUAAGAGCUGACAGGAGAGAGCCCAACGUGGUGUCCUGAAGCUCCUGCAAAGAAUGAGGGCUCACAGUCCCAGGGAUCGUCUCACUACUGGAUCCAGGGAUGGCAUUAUCGGCCUGGUACUUGGCUAUAGCCGCAGGUCCGUUCCUGUCAAACCUGACCUUCUCCUUCCACCAACCUCUAAGGUUGUCAGAGGCGCCGCUAACCGGUUUGCCCUUCUCUGGAAUAAUACCAUAAACGAAUCCCUGAGCUUGGCAUACCUCCAUCAUUUUCAGCAUGUACUUAAGGAUCCCGUCCUGUGCACGAGACAUCUUCUUUCGACGGGCUUGCUCCUGCGACUGAUGCUGCUUUGCCGUGUCCCCUUGCUCCUUGUUUUUGUUCUGUUGUUGUUCCCUCAAACGCUUCAAACGCAUCCGAUCCCUCCACAUGCGUCGUUCGAGCUCUUCUACGUCGAUAUCUUCAUCACUUUCUUCAUCACCAGCCUCAGCAAAGUUUUCGGGAGGAGGAUCUACCAGGUCUCCCUCUCCCACUAUGCAUUCACCCAAUGAAGGCUGAUGGAGGAGGCUACCAUAACUAAGAUUCUUCUCAUCAUUCGAGGCGAAAAGUUGCGCGUAAUUAGGACCUCCAGGAUACACCAUGCCCUCCAUUAAUAGCCCCCCCAUCAUCGCUAUCAGCCGAGGCGAUCGGAUCAGGUCUAUGUACUCGGAGUCGAAUGGCAGAUGCAAUAUUCACUGCAAGAGCAUGAGAAAUAAAGUUCAGGCAGCGGUAAUCCUCAACCAUAUCACGCUGUCGGGUGAUAUUAUUAUCUAGAAAACAUGUGACAUUAAGCAAUUUGAUGAAAACACAUGAUGAAUUUUCUUAACUUAGCCAAAGAAUCUAUUCCCGUAUCGCCAAAGUUAAUAUGCAUUUAUUAAAUUCAUUACAUGGAAAUCAAGAAUCAUCACGUUUUCCACAAGUAACAUAAAUGAGAAACAUGCUCCGCGAGUUCAUCUCGGAAGAAAUAUAUUUUGUAGAUGGCAUUAGUAGUAAGUAGUCUACGACAAGCAACCAACAAAGGUCGUUCAAGGAAACAAUUCGGUUCAGCAUCUCGCCGGGCACAUAGAAAGAUACAGUGCGAGAAAAUACUUUCUAAACAGAUCUUAAAACACAAAGAAUUCUAUAAGCUACUCUCUAUCCGAAAACGACAAACGCAGAUUAGAACAGCAAGCUUUACAGCCACAGCUCAUGAUUUAUGAUCCUCGUAAAAGAAUCGGCAUCAGAUCUGAUCCGCCAAAUUCUUGAUCAGAACAAUUGACAAUUCCCGAUGAUCAAUUAUUACUGUAAAUUGAGAAUCACUACCACCAACCAAUUGCCUUAUUUUAUGUGGAUCAGAGAAUGAUCAGAAGGCCAUGUUUCAAGAUCAGAAAAAGGAUAAGGCAACCUUUGUCUCCACAUAGUGUUACUAAUACUGAACAAGCACAUGAACAGUUCCCAAUCCAGCAUAAAGAUUAUAUUCCAUUGUCAUACAAAUUCAACAAGAUGCAGCAAAAUCAAUCAAAAGAUAACAUCCCCCUUUACCGAAUCUAAGAAAGAAAACAUCUAUGAAAGACCCAGCAGGAACAGUACAAUGAAUAUAGGAAACAUAGACAAAUAGAUGAACACCUUGUUGCUUACCAUAGAACAUGUAAAAGGAAGGAAGGAAAACUAACAAUAUCCCAAUCAGUAUGAAACGAAAAUGGAAGUAAAUUUGGCCACAUAAACAAGUAUCCAAGUUUCAAAUCCAUUCCCGAGAUCAAACAGAACCAAUAUGCUCAUCAGCUCGGUGGAUCUUAUCAGAUGCAACAUGAUAUAGAGGUGGAGAUUUUGUAUGCAAGACAGCAGGAAAUAACGAAGAUGAGAAGAAGCAGAAGAAGAACAUGCACAAACUUCACUCAGAACUUCUCUUCCUCACUGAGACCCAAAAAGGGACUCUAAUUCGUGUCUUUAGAUCGAACUAAAUCCUUUCUGCUUGUGGCGAAUGAAGCAAGCACUAAAUUGCCGAAAAAAUCUGUUUUUUCUCUUGUAGAAAACAAAAAAAAGGAAAAAAAAAUGUCAACUUUGAAGGAUUUUGUUGAGAGUUUUAUCGAUUCGUUUCAUUAUCGCUUUAAGUUUUCAACAGCAACAGAGAGAUAGAAAGACAAGAAAAGCAGAGAGAUCGAUGAUCUGUAGAAAAAACAGGGGAAGGAAAGGCUUGGAGCAACCAAAUCGACGCCAGAAUCCUUAAACCACCGAUCCACAGAAGGCAGAGAAGAAAGCAAGCAACCCUAGAGAUCAAAGUAGAAAUCUCAGCUACUCUCGAAAACCGAGAAAAGAAAAGGAAGAGCUGACUACGAGAAAGCCGAAACCAAACAGAGGUAGAAAUCAAUCGAAAAAGGAGUCGCCUUUACGAGCCAGGAGGACGCAAAAUCGCACCUUUUAGCUUCUAUCCCCGCUUCUGGUCUCCCCUUACGCCAAUAUUAGCCCAUACUCGCUCAUCUCCAACUCCGAGCAAAUUUUAGAUGGGCAACAGAGAUCACAGAUUUUUUAUUAGAGGAGGAAAGAAGCGGAGCUGGUGCUCUUCCCUUCCGCCGCUUUAUAGCCGUUCACUCUUCUUUGCCUCUUGCGUUCUCUCUCUUCCUUUUUCUCUCCGUUUCUCGCCAGUGGAAGGUGGGCUUGUCGGGGUCGCAUGUGAAACGAUAGAGGUCGCUGAUAUCGACGGGAGAGAGAGAGAGAGAACGGGUUAAAAAGAAAGAAGGAAAUGCUAAGUGAUGUGAGGUUGAUUGGAUGUGGAUAAAAGUUGUCCAGUAGUGGAGACGGAAAUCUAAGACGGAGCCAAAAGCCUACAGUGAUGGAGUCGACGUUGCUGCAAUGCCUGCCUUCCUGGAGUCUUCCCCUGGAUUCAUUGAAUGCCAUGGAUUGCACUGCCUGCCACUGCUCCAGGAGGGGAUCAAAAAUGAGGUUGGUGGUAAUCAUCAGACACCAAAAAGCAAUCUUUCUAACUUCAUCUUCUGCAGAUUUUGUUCAUCUUGAUACCAGUCUCAGAGUGCCGACAACUGGCUGUUCCAAGAAGGCCCUCCUACAUGAACACCUUCCAACAGCUCAAACAUGCAAGAAAUCCAGAGUUCCGAGUUAAAUCCUGCUCUUCUGUUUCAGAACAAUGGUUGAAGAUAAAUUGUCAUAUCAUACUCAGGCUGUGUGUGAUGUAGUAACCAACCAAGGAACCAUUUUCUUCACAUUAUUGGAUCAGAAGUGUACCUCUCUGGUAAACACCCAAUUAACUAUUCAGAUACAAAUAAUCCUAUGCUCGAAAGGAUGGGAAGAAAUUAUUUCUAACCAGUGAUACAUUACACAAGAAAUACCAAAAGAUUCUACAAGUUUUAUGGAUCCUAAAUAGUCGCAAUGUAAAUGUCUUUGCAGGGUAUAUACACCACUUAUUAUUUGAGGACUUGUAGCAUUCAGUUGAAUUUUUGUACCAUUCAUUCAACAUUAAAUUUGGACCAUAUGGAAAGGGGGAAGAGAAAAAGCUGGCCAGUCUUGACUAAGCUUGUGUGGCCUGCCUCAUGAUGAAGACUUCGAUGAUAAGAAUGGAAGGCAUGUGCAAUGGGACUCCGUGGCAGCAGGCGACAUCAAGACAUUGACACCCAAAUUGAGGUAUUGGACCACUAAAAUGCUGCAGUCUUCCCAUGUCGACGUACCACAAGCCACAAACAAGAAGGCCAGAGUUGUGAGCAGUAGUAGGAACUCGGUGCCGACUGGGACAAGAGUGUGGAUUUAAUGCCCUUAAAUGAGCUAAGAUUGUUGUGUUUUUGCUGCUGCUGCUGCUGUAAGGGAGAUGAAGAUUACAUUACAUCCUCUGGGGAUGAUCAACUUGGGAAUUUUAUUAUCUUUUUUCUGUUUAUGUUUCUGAUUAGGUGUUUCAUCCACUUUUUUGUGUGGAUGAGAUGGUCUCUCUCUCUCUCUCUGUGCAUCUGUGUAUCUAUCUAUACUUUAAUGCAGGGCGAAGUAGAGAUUUAGGUGUCGGCAGGGGCUAAACAUGGGAAAUGUUUGAAUUGUUGUUUUCUUGUUUACUUUGGAUUGCAUUUCCAACCAAAACCUGUGUUCAUCAAAGAGUAAGAAGAUGCCAAGAAAUUAUCAUAUUAGAGCUUCCCAAAAUGAACAAAGAAGUGAAUUCUUAUUAGUCAGAUGCUUACUGGUUCUUGAAGUCGACUCGAUCUUGAUUACAAGCAUGGCAUUUGGUGGGUGUGGAUUCAGUUGGACUCCCUCAUCUUGACUAGAAUUCUCCAGCAAUAAUAACACAGGAUCCUGUGGAAAAGCAAAUUGUUCCUACUCUUUUGUCUGAAUUGGAUGGUACAAGUGUAAAAGGUUUGCCAUCCAUUUCCUUUUGAUCAAGGAAAGAAAUCUUUGGUGAUGAAGCAGCACAUACAAAGGAAGAAUACAUUGUGAGAUGAGAGCAAGGAUUGUUUAGCAUCCUUCAGCAAAGCAAAAAAAUUGAGGCUCUCAUUAAAUUCUUCUCGAGUAAAGGAACAUAAAAAAAAAGAUUUUGAGUAAGAUCAGUGAUUUCUUCAGCUUACUCUUGAACUUGAUAGAUAAUAUGAUGAUUAGUUAUAAGAUCAUUGAAGAAUUUUAUUUGAUACACCUCCUACCACCAAAAUAGAUCUACAAUUAGAAAACCAAACUGCAGCAGAUACACAUGUUGUUCUGUCCUAUCUUCUAGUAGUAGUCCAGCCACCCCCAUUUUGUCAUGACAGAUAGGAAAACAUACAGAGGAUGACAUGAUUUAGAUGAUUGAAUUUUGUAUGCCUUUGCACAUGAUUCUUAUUACUAAAAGUAUAAGAUGAUUGAGAGACCCUCAGAAUUCAGUCCACAUCAUUUAUCAGUUGCACUUGUCUACAGAUGAUGAAUUUCUAGAUUCAAAUUACAGCAGGUCAAAAUGUUCUUGCCUACAAAAUAUUUCAAGCUGAAAUGGCAUUUGGUUGCAAACCAUUAGCCCCAAUGCAUAGGGAGGAUAUAUCAAGAAUGAGCUCUCAAGAUGCAGAAGGUGAUGUUCUUGCCUGCACCAAGCCUCACCUUACCAGUAAUAUAUCUGAGAAGUUCAGCAUCUGAUCCAAUCAUUUUGAGACCUAGCAGAUGGCAUCUGUCAUCUGAACAUAAAAAAAGAAAUAUUGUGAUGGAAAAAUGCAACAAAAUAAUAUUUUAUUCUUCGUUCUCUGAAGCCUGUUGGAUGGAGCUGAACACAUUGCAGACAUGAUGAAAUAAAUAUCAGGGAUCAAGCCAUGUGCAACUAAAAAAGAAUGUCUUAGAGAAACUAAAAGAAAUGUCUUCCUGCAGUGCUGCACCCUGAUCAUGGCAAUGCACCAAAGAUGUUAAUUAAUUGCAGUGCAUUAAAAUUUUGUGAGUUACCUUUUUAUUGCUUCAUGGAGGGAAUUCAGUUCUAUGAUUGAUUUUUGUUUAGUUUCUAUGUAACAAAACUAUUACAAUCACAAGUUUCCCUAAACCAAACUUACAUUUAAAGGUCCAAAAGACCAGUCUCAUCGACCAUUUGAUUUUGUGCUGAAGGUUAAAGAGAAAAAUUCUAAGCUAGUUUUACGGUAUCGCCGUCUUGACACAGUUAGCCUUGUCUGUUCAGUGAAGAUCAAGGAUCAUCCAUAGCUCUCUCCUAAGUUUCUUCUGAUACAAAACUCUGAAGUUGUUUGAAGAAAUAGUUUAAUAUCACUUGCUAAAUCUGGAGGUUCUUGGGCUUUGAAAUAAUGAUUUAAUUGGAACCUUUUCUAAUAUGCUUCACUUGUGCAUUCCAUAAGUAUUCAUGGUUGGAGUCGAAAGGAUGAUACUAACUUGCUUUGGUUGACAACAACUCUUCAUCAGAUAAUGUUGACAGUUGAUUAGCAUACACAUCAAAGAUUGCUAAUUGCAAUCACACAACUUGCUUAUAGUUUAAUUCCAAACAAAAUGAAUUUUUAGCUUCAAAGCAGAAAUCAAACUAAUCUAGUGUUGAACUAUUCGUCCCGAACUCGUACGACAGAAACAAAAGAUGGUGUGAUUGUUUUCGGUCAACCAAAUCAAAUUUUAGAUGCAAUUUAGUCAAUCUAAACGAUCUGUUCAGGGUCGACUAAAAUAGAAGGCCAACUCAAAUUCUGCUCAAGAUAAACCACAAUAUUUUUAGCAGAAUUUUGAUGCCACAUUCAGGAUCAAGUAGAUAAAAAGAACUCAUCAUUUGGUCCCUGUGAAAGAUCAGGAAGAACGACGUAUGGUUUAGAUGAAGUCAUUAAGCUAUAAAAGGUAAAAGCCAAAAGAUCGUGCCAAAGUAUACCGGUAAUGCGUAAACUUAUGCAUUCUGAAUCAAGAAGGAAUCUAAUGAAGAAAGUGAGGUGGAUUGAUGUACUCCACAAUUAUGCAACAGGCAGUAUGGACAUGUAGUUAAAUAGACUUGAAGAACAAAGUAAAUCACCACCGAGAGGAAAAAUCAUGAAUUUCUGAAAGCAAGAACAGUUAACGUGCAAAUCCACCAUAAUAGUCAUAAACCAAGUUGAUACAAACUCCGUUCUUAUCGUGUUCUCACAUAAGAGGGUUUAGUCGAAGACAAUCAGGUUGAUGUGAGUUAUCAUGCGAUUAAACACACGAAUCUCUGAAUCAAUAUAUGCAAGUCACAAUAGCAUUUCUGUGAGAUGAUCAGCAAUAUAUUCCUAAGGUUGUUCUCCAUGUCAUUCAACUGAAGCAGUAUGAAGAAGGCUAGGUAGCCACGAAUGAUAACAAGGAGCACUCCAAGAGAAUGACAGCAAGGUGAGCUUUGUUUGAUGCUUGCCAAACGGAAGAAACAAAGCAUAGUGCAUGUGUGAUGUGUGUCUCCAGAUUCUAGUUCAUCUCUUUGGCUCACUGCCCCAGAGACCUCAUAGUACUCUUUAAACUUUUAUGGCACAUGCCAUAGAACCUGAGAAGAUGCAAUUUAAGAUGUUUGAGGAACAAAGACAUGUGGGAGAUUGUGAGAGAGAGGAUUAAACUAAACAGGAGAUGUAUAAAGGGUUGAUGCUCAUUAGAUCUCUCAAGAUUUGGUUGUAUCCCUGUUCCCUCGGUCCAUUGCAUUGUCUCAAAGCUUGGUGAUGCCAGCAAUGAUAUUUAAUACAGGAAGCAAAUGGCUCAGGAGAGCAUGGGAAGCAAAACCAAACAUGUCCAUGUUCACACCCCUGUUUGGCUGUAUUUUUUGGGCUCCUCCCUAAUUGACUGUCAUGCGUUCGUAUUAUCUUAACUUUAGGGAACAUUUGCACUGUGACUCUGUUAAGAUGAGCUCUGUGGGGCUCUCUCUUGCAGAAUCACAGGACAAGGGGUUGGCCAUUAGUCAGAACAUAUUAUGUUGUUGUUGUUGAGUCUUCUUUUCCUUGGUGUCGUCGAGUGCCCACCAAAGAAAAGCUAUACUGCCACUGAUACUUCUUUUCUUUGCUCCCAUAUUGCUGCAACUACUCUUAGUUGCCACUUUGGCGGUGACCCUAUUGUUUUGCUUUCCUCUACCACCAUGGAUCAGAACAACUAAGAAAAAUGGAACUCUCUAAGACAAAUUACAUUUGUGCAUAUUGAUGUAACUAUGGAGCCACCAUCGUUACUGUCAAGAUGAUUCAUGUCAGCACACGUUAUUGGAUUACGAACGUAACUUGUUCACAUAGCAACAUACGAUCGAUUCUUAUAGUAAGCAAAUGGCUCUCCUCAGGCUGACACGAUUUAUUUGGUGCAUACAUGGCAAGCGUUGGCUUGGAUUAUAAAGGUUCAAUGAAAACACGGAUGCUCAGGAAAGGGAGCAGAUUCCUUGCUGGCUAUGUUGCCGGAAAGCCAAUCAAGUCCCUCGUACAAACCCUCACCAGAUGUUGCACAAGUUCUCUGUAUAUACCUGCGCAUAAUAAGUCCAGAAAUCCUCAUCUCCUUCUUCGCAAACAGGCAGCUAAAGAGUUUUGCAAAGGUAAGCCCCAUCGUUUUCUUCGCUAUCAGAAGCGAACCAUACACCCACGGAUCUAAGCAAGAACACGAAUGGCGCAUUGGAUUUGGCCAAGAAAUCAAGUUCAAGAUAUUAAAGAGGGGCAAAAUACUACAAGGUCUACACGAAUAGGUUGCGAUCCGAAAUCAACAAGGAGAAAAAGAGACUGGCCAACCGAUCAAUCAAGAAUCUCCAAACUAAAGGCAUCUGCGAUUCAAAAGGACUGUAACCGAUACUCAAAGCGAUCUUCUGAGCCAACAACCAAGAAAUAGAGGAGGGAGUUGUGGCUACCUGAGAUCUCGAAGGCCGGAUGGCGGAGGAGGCGAGGAUCAAGAGGGGUCUCCGCUUCCGCUCCUCGGCAUUGAGGGGAGAAAAGGUAAUUAACUAAAACAGAAUCUCCCAACUUAGAGGACAAUUCGAGGGACGAAGGAAGUCGGCAGGGACAGUGCGCUCGAUGUAGGCCACAUCCUCCAGUCAUGUACUCAGUCGGGGCAAACGUUAUCUAACAGACUGUUACAAGUAAUUAUCAGUUGUUGCAGUCAUAUAAUUCGGUCACAAGUAAACCCCUCAUCUAACAGACAGUUUUGUGUUAAAUUUGAUUCAAAUUAUCAAAUGAUUUAAGUUAAUCCUCAGACCAAGUGUCAGAUUUAUUCUCAUAAACGCAGAUCCAUACUACCGGCCAAAAGAUAAAUCAUCUGAAAUGGUCCAAAGACAUCAACUCUUACUUGGGACACUGAUGAACACAUUUUAUGCAUGAAAAUUCCAGAAAACUGAUAAUUUCUCACAGGCUACAGUACCACACCAAGUUUCUAAUACAUAAAACUCAGCACCGUAUGAUAUCAAAACAAAACAAUUGACACACGUACAUAUGUAGGUCAUCAUAAUCUUUAUAAGAUGUAAUACUUGCUUGAAUGAUGCUGGAAGAAUUGUCUUUUGAGAUCAUUAGAUAACACCAAUGAGAACACAUCAAUAAAUUUCAUGAAUAGAAAACAAAAAAGAAUAUCAACCAGUUAGUUUCUAUAUGAAUUCCUCAACACCAGUUCAAAGGUUGCCUUACCAGUUAGGUUAGUAGGCACAAAUACCACAACCACAAUUAUUCUUUUGAACCCUCGACAUCCAACUUGUGCUGGUUAUGAGCACAAGAAAGUGGGCGAGUGAUGAACUGGCAACUGAACAAUCAUAUAUCAAGUCCUGUUUCAUCCUCACAAAUUUGGAUUCAAUCAUAUCUUUUGAAAUAAUUAUCUCACUGCCGACAGCCAAGUUUGAUAAAUAGCAUUAAUCAAGAACGAACAGAUCAGUCAUAUAUCUCAUCAUCCCCACAUAAAUGACUAACCAUGCAUAUUAAAGAACACAUUUUUCCCUUUUACCUUGACGCAUGCAUCAUCUCUAUCACCAACUUGAGAAUGACCAAGCAAUUUACAUAACCUGCAUGUUUCACGCACUGUAGAAAAUUCUUGCUGUAAAGGAAUUCCCCAUUAUGUUAUAAACAUUUUCAGUAAAUAAUAAUUAGCCAUUAAUACUAGUUUCAAAAGGAAAAGUGAACAUUUGUUUUAUGCCACCGCAAAUUUCAAACUGUGGCAUGGCCCAUAGAAGAUCAACUCCCAACAACAACCAAUACUCCAAGGAUGCCACAAAUCGACCAACAGCCUCAUCUAAUCUUGGGAAAAUCUGGUUUAAUUUCUAACAAAUGGGGUUAAAGAUGAAAGACAGCACCCUAGAAGAGUAAAUAAUUUCAGGCGGGUUUGCAUAUCUUAUAGCUAAAGCAUAGAUAUACCACAAAAAAUCAUCCUUCAAAAACUUCUUCAAAUGUCAUUACGAAAAGAUCUAAACAACGGAGACAAAAUCCUCAGCAAUCAAUCAAUUCCAUAAUUACCUACAAACAAUCAAUCAAUUAGCUUCAUAAGACCUUAUGCAUUUAGUUUCACCUAAAGAAACAGCAUUCCAAAAUACCACUGCAAAUCUUCUAUCUACAUUUUGAAACCAAGACUUCCAAAUUUAUUUGUCUUUAAAGGGUGAUCCAGUGCUUAAUUUAGAAAUCACUAAAAGAGCAUUAAAAAUGAUCUUAGUGUUCCGACUGAUUCUGAAAAUCAUUAAACACAUUUCCACUAAAAUCUUCAGUUAUUUUCAAAGGAGAAAUAACGUCAAAUUGAUAUGAUGGACAUGUCUAACAUCUACAGAAACAUCACAAGCACCAAAUAUUAUUUCCAUAGGCUCUCCAAAAGGGAGAAAUUUUUCUAAACAAUAAAAAAAAUAACAACAAAAUCAAACUAAUUUUUUUUUCUGUCAACACAUGCUAUCUAACUGUUAGAUAUUUUUUACUGGGUCAUAUCUUUUUAAAUACCCAAAAAAUGAUUCAAAUAACCUUCAGCCAUUUCAUCCUACUCCUUGACUCCCAGCUGAAUUUUGUUAAACUUAGUGAUCUACAAAGACUAAUGUUCAUCAUUACAAAAAAGUGACAGCAAUGAAAACUUUAAACCACUUGAUGUUCUAGCUUCAUACCUCAUGCUGUGAUAAUAAAUGCUUUUCUCUGUAGAAUCCAAAUCAGAGGGACCACAUCAAGCUACAUUGUAAUUUCCACAAAGAUGGAAUACUUUGAAAGUUCAGUAGCUAUAAACUGGUGGUCAAACAAUUUGGUUUAAGGGCUCCUCAAAAGAAAGAAAAAGCAGAGAUUCCAAAUAGAACAGUAUAGAUGGGAUUAAGAAGUCAUUGCAGCAUUAGAUAACACCAUCUCAAACGAGACAAACAUGUGAAUUUAAGGAUCCAUUCAGUGACAUAUGAUACAUCACAGGAAUAUUGCCCUAAACAAACAAUCAAAACAGAUUUAAAUGAUGUUAAUUUGACCAGAAUUGACCCUAAAACAAAGCUCAAAUGGGGGAAAAGUUCCAUAUAACCAUCUCCACAUAGUUACAAAGUAAGGGCUUUCGCUAGCAUUGCUGCAGCCCAGGAAUUUGUUGAAAUUAAAGGAGAGCUGUUCAGCUAGAAUAGAUGCACCUUAGAUUAAUAAACAGCAAUAGCAAAAUAUAAACACUCUCGGUUUAACCAAAGAUAUUGCCCUAAACAGAGCUCAGUGGCAGGAAAAAGAAUCAUGUAUGCAACCCAAAAUGGCUGACACGUUAAGGCUUGCUUAUCAUUGUUAUGUUAUGGAAAUGAAGUGUUUCAGUAGAUCAAACAGAAAGAGAACUGAGAAGGGAGACAGAGAGGAACAGAGAUGAGAUGAGAAGGAAUACUGGUCCAGGGCAAAGACAAAAUUACUUCCAUCAUGUAAAACAAUUUCACCACAUAUGAAACAAAGCCAACCACAAGUAUUUAGUAUUGGAUAUACCAAGAUUCUCGAUGUCUUAGAUCAGGAUAUCUGUAACUCGAAUCAAAUAUAUCAUCAACAUCCUGCUAUCCCUUACAAGGACCAGCAGCCUUUCAAGCCCUAAAACAUUUUCAAUCCAGUUAAAAUACAUCUAUAUCAAUCACAAUUGAUGGAUCAUGUUGAGAAACUAAUAACAGCAAUGUAUGUUGGCCACUAGUGCACACUUCUAAAGGUUCCUAGAUGGACUCAAAUAAUGAAUCCAUGAAAUGAUUUACCUGAUCAAUAUUAACCAUUGAAGCAGAACCAUAAAAACAACAGUUUUAACAUGACCAAACCCACCCAAUCAGAACACUAGAUUAUACAGCGUGCAAAUUGCACAGGGAGCAAACCAAAGCGUUGAGACUUCUCCAUACCAUCCAAUCCAGUUUCAGGUGUCUAAUAACUGGGUGCAUCAAUAUACCAACAAGUACAAUAAAGGUAUCACUAAAUCAAAUAAAAGAAAGGCCUCACAUGAAAGAGAUGAAGUGAUGGAAAGCUUAAUCAUGAAUCAAUUAGCAAACACAUCAAAAUUGGGACUUAGAACAAAACUGAACCUGAACAAGCAUUACAAACCACAACAUUUGAACUAUUUCACCAUAAAAUAACCAGCAUUUUCAAAGUACAAAAGUAGGUUUCAAACGUUUCAUACUCACAUUUUGCAAAACAUGCAUAUAAUAAUAAUUAAAAAAAACCAACACCAUCAACUUAAAAUCAACUUUUUAAGAAAAUUACAUACAGAAACCAAGCCAAAUAAAUAAAAUGCUAAUGGUAUCUUACAAAUUAAAAUAAAUACCUGUAACUAGAAAAAAUUAAUAAUAUAGUCAACAAAUCAGAAAAAACAGUUUAAUAAACUAGAAAGGUCAAUAAUCUUUAAAUCCGCAAGGUUCUUUUACAAUUUAGCAACAAGUCAUUUAUAGGGCUUUAAGAAGCAAAUAUAGUAGCUCAAAAUACUGCAUAAGUGGAAAGGAUAAAAGAAAUUUAAGUAUCACAAGGUGGUUCCAAAAACUUGAGUUUAAAAUUCAUUGCAAACUACAGAAAAGAUGCAUUUCAUUGAGCGCAGAAGCAGGAACUCCAGAAGGAUCAUCUGCCCAGAACAAAAUAGAUUUAUGCACCUACAAAGGAUCUGCAAUAUAAGGAAGUGUGAAAUUAUAAAAAACCAAGCUUCGAACUAAAGAACUGUGCAUGAAAAAAAUUACUGCCAAGAAAACUUAUCCAUUCAAAUCCACAAUUAAUGGAUGGAAGUUACAAAAGGCAAUAACAAUUUGAUAAAAAGGCUGUAUAAGAUAAAAAUGAAAUAAUCAAAUGGAACCUGAUAGAAUCAAAAUUGAACAAGAAAAUCCAAACAAUAUGAUAGCUAAUGUAGGAAGCUUAGCAAUAAGUAUUUUGUAUAAGGGAAAAAGAUGAAAGAGGAUAUGACUUCAAACUAUUGAUGCAACUGGAUAUGCAAAUCAUGCAAUUAACCAGUUUUGAUGCCAACUGUGAAAGACAAUAAAGUUUCCAAAUAUGCAUAAAAACUAGAAAACCAAAGGUUGUCAAGAUGGUUGGCAUCUCACAUUUUCUAAUUACUUGUCAAACAGACAACAAAAAUUUAGCCUCAAAAGAUUUUGGAAAGCUAGAAUCAGCUGUGUUUUUUCUACCAGAAAAUAAUUCUAGAUGAAAGCAGAUAAUCGGGAAAGAAAACAAAUGCAAGACAUUUGAUGCUGAGAAAUGCCAAAUGUCAACUGAAGCUUUGACUAAUAUUACUCAUAAAACUUGCUAGACCACACCAUUCCACUAACGAGUUCACAAUCAAAGCACAGAGACAAUAGUACAUGUUCACGACAAAAGAGCAUAUUGAAGACAUUAUUGCAAAUUAAAAUUCUUUUAACAUCCAAUCAAUCAGUUACUUAACACCUCAUCAACAUUUUGCUAGGCAUUCAUCACAGAGAUAACCUAGUAAUAUUUCUAUGUUACAAAUGCAAUUAGUUGGAAUGUUGAAUGCUUGAGAUUUGAAGGUUAACAGUAAACAAAUGAUCAAUAUUAAAGAAGAAAGAAAUUGUUCAAACUAAGUUAUUUAUUUGAAGCAAAUUAGAGUAAAGAAUUCUUAUAAUUAUUUGCCCCGAUGUAUCUGCUGAGUAUUCCAUGAUGGCACUAGUAUAGUAUCAUAUCAUCCAAAUUCUGUCGAACUUACACAAGCAUUUCAAGUGAUCAAAAUUUUCAAAUCACCCACUGCAAUACAUUUAAAAAGUUACUGUAUGAUCCUAUAAAACUUUGACAUGUCCAUAACAAGCAAGUGAAUUGAACUUGUUACUCCUUUUUCGCUUCUUCAAAUAUUCUACUUCGUUUUGUAAAUCAAAGCUCUUUAAUGGGAUAGAUAUCACAUUAUUCAUUUAAAAUUAAAAGAAGACACAAUGUAAUUGUUCAAAGAAAAACAAAUUGAAGCAGAUGGAUGCAUAACAAUCAGAAGCAACUCUGUUUUCAGAGGAAAUGGAAAUGAAGAGAGGGGAAAAGAGAACCAAUGCAGGAUAUAUAGAGAACGAUGGUGUGUAUUCUUGCAUGGAAAUUUUCACAGAGAACACUUUUUACUUAAAAGACCUCCUUUCUGGUGCUUCCUUGACAGAGUAAUCAACCUUUUAUAGCUUAAUUAUUUAAUUCUCCUGAUUUUUUUAUUUUUUUCCAAAUAACAUUUUCAAUAUAUUACAUGAUUGAAAAUAUAAGGUUACAUGCAACAAUACAUAUAAAUAGUAGUCAUAACAAGAUCUAAAAUAUUCUCUAUAGCUUUAUGUAGAUAUUUUUAUCUUUUUUAUAAUUUUAUAAUGAUUAAUAUCUAUCAA
rnacentral:lncRNA from 1 species